GAAUCGAGGACUUCAGCAGUGCUAGAGUUCUCCUUGCUCACACUCACCAGGAACUGACAGACAGACAGUACAUUAAAGAAUGGCUCCCACAGAAUACUGAUAAAACAUCUCAAUUGUGACAAUGGAGGAUGCACUGUAUAUACCAGUUACUUUAUCUUACCUUGACAGGUUUUUUGUGAGGUUCUUUAGCAAAGUAGAAAACUGAGAGCACCUUUUGUUUCUGGGGCAAGGGGACUGGCAGGUAAAGGAAAGGAUCAAAGGUGAUAGAGACCUGAAGAAGUAGGUAAGGAAUGAA